rnacentral:rRNA from 1 species
AUUGAACGCUGGCGGCAUGCCUUACACAUGCAAGUCGAACGGCAGCAUGGGUGCUUGCACCUGAUGGCGAGUGGCGAACGGGUGAGUAAUGCAUCGGAACGUACCCGGAAGUGGGGGAUAACGUAGCGAAAGUUACGCUAAUACCGCAUAUUCUGUGAGCAGGAAAGCGGGGGAUCGCAAGACCUCGCGCUUCCGGAGCGGCCGAUGUCGGAUUAGCUAGUUGGCGGGGUAAAGGCUCACCAAGGCGACGAUCUGUAGCGGGUCUGAGAGGAUGAUCCGCCACACUGGGACUGAGACACGGCCCAGACUCCUACGGGAGGCAGCAGUGGGGAAUUUUGCGCAAUGGGGGCAACCCUGACGCAGCGACGCCGCGUGGGUGAAGAAGGCCUCGGUUGUAACUCUGUCAUGGGGAGAAGUAAGUGAGGUACCCAAGAGGAAGACCCUCGCUAACUACGUGCCAGCAGCCGCGGUAAGAGUAGUACA